CCACAAUAUAUUUUACUAAUCCAAAAAAGGGAAAAGAUGAUAUAUAGUAUUUCUGAUAUUCCCUUGCUAUUAAAACCCACUUAUAGCACAUUUUACUCAUCUGUGUAAUGAAGGAACUGAACAAGAUAAAUGGUUUUCAAUUUUUUAUCUUUGUAGCAGACUCCUUUUUUCAAUGAAAAUCGUAUUCAGAUGAACUCCGGUACAUAAAAAAAUGAUAAUGACAGAGCAGAUCUAGUUGAGGCAAGGGUAGAGGGUCCAGGCCCGCUUUCUCAGCCUCCUCCUCAUUUUUCCUUCUCUUCUAUUUUUUUUCUUCUUCUUCUUCUCCUUCUGCUGCUUCUUCUUUUUUGAAAGGGUCUUUGCUGGAUUAUUAAUCUUUGUUCAUUUUAAACAGGUAGAAUGAGAAGAGACAUCCAUCCCCUCCAGCUCUACCAGAGCCGAACAGGCUUUACACCCUGGCUAAGAAAACAAGCUAUGAGUUACAUUGUCUUCAAUGGGUCCAAGACUUUGCAACGAGCCCCACAGUCCACAUGGACUUCUCACAUAACCAUCCGUGGGCUGGACUCGGCUAACAACCAGGACCAGCACUCCUAGAGGAGGUCCCAGGACACUGCCUCUGGACCAGGCAGCCAUGGAGUCCUUUGUGAGGGAUGACAUGCAGCCCAGGAGGAAUGAUGUGAGAGUGAUGGAAGAAGGACAUCACUACUCCCAAACCACUCCCACUUUAGGGCUUCAAAAAUAUUCUAGUGAGAAUGGAGCGGAAUUCUCACACCAUGGAGAUGCUCAUAUAUGAACAAGCAGCGGAAAGAGCAGGUUGGAAGACCAAGAAUCAAGGAGCCAGGAGUGUGGGAAGGUGGUACAGAGGAUGGACAACAAAAGGCAGGACACAUGGGAGGCAGAAGAGAAACAAAACAGAUCAUUGUCACGAGCUGCGUAUCACAACUCUCAUUAAGAAUUAUAAUUCAAUAUGAAGUAAGCAAGAUUUAUUUGAAGGAAGCUUAAAACUCUCCUGAGAGACUUGAAAGAAGAUCCAAAUAAGUAGUAAGUAUAUCUUACUCUUGGAUAGGGAGACAAUAUUAUAAACAUAUCAGUUCUCCCUAAGCUAAUCUAGAAAUAUUAAUUUUUUCAAGUUGAUGAAAUGAUAUGUAAGUUCAUCGGCAAAAAUAGACGUGUGACAACAGUGGGAGGAGAACUGAGGUGGUUAUAGCUUUACCAGAUAUAAAAAUGUAUUGUAAAACCACAGUAAUUAGAAAGUUUGUCACUGACACUAGUAUAAUCAGACCCUAAUAAAUAUAGAUGUUUGGUAUAUUAUAAGGUAAGU
rnacentral:lncRNA from 1 species